UAAGGAAUAUUGGUCAAUGGACGCAAGUCUGAACCAGCCAUGCCGCGUGAAGGAUGAAGGUCCUCUGGAUUGUAAACUUCUUUUAUCUGGGACGAAAACGGGAUUUUUAUCUCAAUUGACGGUACCAGAGGAAUAAGCACCGGCUAACUCCGUGCCAGCAGCCGCGGUAAUACGUAGGACCCAAGCGUUGUCCGGAUUUACUGGGUGUAAAGGGUGCGCAGGCGGAUGGGUAAGUCAGGGGUGAAAGUCUGCAGCUUAACUGUAGAAUUGCCUUUGGUACUGCUCAUCUUGAGUGUGGGAGAGGUUGAUGGAAUUCCAGGUGUAGCAGUGAAAUGCGUAGAUAUCUGGAAGAACACCAGUGGCGAAGGCGGUCAACUGGCCCAUAACUGACGCUCAUGCACGAAAGCGUGGGGAGCAAACA
rnacentral:rRNA from 1 species